GACAACGUGGCCGAGUGGUCUAAGGCGCUGGACUUGAAAUCCAGUACUCUCUGAGUGCGCAGGUUCGAACCCUGCCGUUGUCG